GGUCAAGUAAUGAAGUGCACAUGGUGGAUGCCUUGGCAGUCAGAGGCGAAGAAAGACGUGAUAGCCUGCGAUAAGCGUCGGUGAGGUGGCAAUAUCCUGUGACCCGGCGAUUUCUGAAUGGGGAAACCCAACCAACAUAAGUUGGUUAUUACACAGUUUACUGUGUAAGGCAAACCGGGAGAAGUGAAACAUCUCAGUACCCCGAGGAAAAGACAUCAAAUGAGAUUCCGUAAGUAGCGGCGAGCGAACACGGAGGAGCCGAUCAAUUUUACAGUAGCAAAAUGGCGUGGGAAAGCCAACCAUAGUAGGUGAUAGUCCUGUAUGCGAAACUGUUUAAGCGACAUAUUAAGUAGGGCGGAACACGAGAAAUUCUGUCUGAAGAUGGGGGGACCAUCCUCCAAGGCUAAAUACUCCUGACUGACCGAUAGUGAACCAGUACCGUGAGGGAAAGGCGAAAAGAACCCCUGUUAGGGGAGUGAAAUAGAACCUGAAACCGUGUGCAUACAAGCAGUCGGAGCGGACUUGUUCCGUGACGGCGUACCUUUUGUAUAAUGGGUCAGCGACUUAUAUUCUGUAGCAAGGUUAACCGAAUAGGGGAGCCGUAGGGAAACCGAGUCUUAAUAGGGCGAAUGAGUUGCAGGGUAUAGACCCGAAACCGAGUGAUCUAUCCAUGAGCAGGUUGAAAGUGCCGUAACAGGCACCGGAGGACCGAACCCACUGUCGUUGAAAAGCCAGGGGAUGACUUGUGGAUAGGGGUGAAAGGCUAAUCAAACUCGGUGAUAGCUGGUUCUCCCCGAAAGCUAUUUAGGUAGCGCCUCGGACGAACACCAUUGGGGGUAGAGCACUGUUUCGGCUAGGGGGUCACACCGACUUACCAAACCGAUGCAAACUCCGAAUACCGAUGAGUGAUAUCCGGGAGACAGACGGCGGGUGCUAACGUCCGUCGUCAAGAGGGAAACAACCCAGACCGCCAGCUAAGGCCCCAAAUUCCUAGUUAAGUGGGAAACGAUGUGGGAAGGCACAGACAGCUAGGAGGUUGGCUUAGAAGCAGCCACCCUUUAAAGAAAGCGUAAUAGCUCACUAGUCGAGUCGGCCUGCGCGGAAGAUGUAACGGGGCUCAAACUAGGAGCCGAAGCUGCGGAUUUAAUUGUUUCAAUUAAGUGGUAGGGGAGCGUUGUGUAAGCCUGUGAAGGUGCACUGUAAGGUGUGCUGGAGGUAUCACAAGAGCGAAUGCUGACGUGAGUAACGACAAAACGGGUGAAAAGCCCGUUCGCCGGAAGACCAAGGGUUCCAGUCCAACGUUAAUCGGGGCUGGGUGAGUCGACCCCUAAGGCGAGGCCGAAAGGCGUAGUCGAUGGGAAAUCGGUUAAUAUUCCGAUACUUGUUUAUGAUGCGAUGGAGGGACGGAGAAGGUUAUGCCAGCCUGGCGAUGGUUGUCCAGGUGGAAGGAUGUAGUUAGACUGAGUAGGCAAAUCCGCUCGGUUAUUAAUGAGAUCUGAUAGCAAGCCAGUUUACUGGCAAAGUGGCAAAUACCCUGCUUCCAGGAAAAGCUUCUAAGCGAUAGUCAUAAACGAAUCGUACCCGAAACCGACACAGGUGGUCAGGUAGAGAAUACCAAGGCGCUUGAGAGAACUCUGCUGAAGGAACUAGGCAAAAUGGUACCGUAACUUCGGGAGAAGGUACGCUGCCGAUGGUGAUAAGACUUGCUCUUUGAGCUGUUGGCAGUCGCAGAUACCAGGCUGCUGCAACUGUUUAUUAAAAACACAGCACUCUGCAAACACGAAAGUGGACGUAUAGGGUGUGAUGCCUGCCCGGUGCUGGAAGGUUAAUUGAUGGGGUUAGCGUAAGCGAAGCUCUUGAUCGAAGCCCCAGUAAACGGCGGCCGUAACUAUAACGGUCCUAAGGUAGCGAAAUUCCUUGUCGGGUAAGUUCCGACCUGCACGAAUGGCAUAAUGAUGGCAGCGCUGUCUCCAGCAGAGACUCAGUGAAAUCGAAAUCGCAGUGAAGAUGCUGUGUACCCGCGGCUAGACGGAAAGACCCCGUGAACCUUUACUACAGCUUUACAUUGAACUUUGACCUAACUUGUGUAGGAUAGGUGGGAGGCUUUGAAGCAGAUACGCCAGUAUUUGUGGAGCCAACCUUGAAAUACCACCCUGGUUAUGUUGGGGUUCUAACUUAGGAUUAACAAAUCCAAGGACAAUGUAUGGUGGGUAGUUUGACUGGGGCGGUCUCCUCCUAAAGAGUAACGGAGGAGUACGAAGGUGCGCUCAGAACGGUCGGAAAUCGUUCAAAGAGUAUAAAGGCAAAAGCGCGCUUAACUGCGAGACCCACAAGUCGAGCAGGUACGAAAGUAGGUCUUAGUGAUCCGGUGGUUCUGUAUGGAAGGGCCAUCGCUCAACGGAUAAAAGGUACUCUGGGGAUAACAGGCUGAUACCGCCCAAGAGUUCAUAUCGACGGCGGUGUUUGGCACCUCGAUGUCGGCUCAUCUCAUCCUGGGGCUGAAGCAGGUCCCAAGGGUAUGGCUGUUCGCCAUUUAAAGAGGUACGCGAGCUGGGUUUAGAACGUCGUGAGACAGUUCGGUCCCUAUCUACCGUGGGCGUUGGAAAUUUGAGAGGAUCUGCUCCUAGUACGAGAGGACCAGAGUGGACGAACCUCUGGUGUUUCGGUUGUCACGCCAGUGGCAUUGCCGAGUAGCUACGUUCGGAUGGGAUAACCGCUGAAAGCAUCUAAGCGGGAAGCCCACCUCAAGAUAAGAUUUCCCUAAAGAGCCGUUGUAGACUACGACGUUGAUAGGUUGGGUGUGGAAGUGUAGUGAUACAUGUAGCUAACCAAUACUAAUUGCUCGUUUGGCUUGACCAU
rnacentral:rRNA from 1 species